rnacentral:rRNA from 1 species
CCAUCAGAUGUGCCCUGAUGGGAUUAGCUAGUAGGUGGGGUAAUGGCUCACCUAGGCGACGAUCCCUAGCUGGUCUGAGAGGAUGACCAGCCACACUGGAACUGAGACACGGUCCAGACUCCUACGGGAGGCAGCAGUGGGGAAUAUUGCACAAUGGGCGCAAGCCUGAUGCAGCCAUGCCGCGUGUGUGAAGAAGGCCUUCGGGUUGUAAAGCACUUUCAGCGAGGAGGAAGGUGGUGGGCUUAAUACGCUCAUCAAUUGACGUUACUCGCAGAAGAAGCACCGGCUAACUCCGUGCCAGCAGCCGCGGUAAUACGGAAGGUGCAAGCGUUAAUCGGAAUUACUGGGCGCAAAGCGCACGCAGGCGGUUUGUUAAGUCAGAUGUGAAAUCCCCGGGCUCAACCUGGGAACUGCAUUUGAAACUGGCAAGCUAGAGUCUCGUAGAGGGGGGUAGAAUUCCAGGUGUAGCGGUGAAAUGCGUAGAGAUCUGGAGGAAUACCGGUGGCGAAGGCGGCCCCCUGGACGAAGACUGACGCUCAGGUGCGAAAGCGUGGGGAGCAGACAGGAUUAGAUACCCUGGUAGUCCACGCUGUAAACGAUGUCGAUUUGGAGGUUGUGCCCUUGAGGCGUGGCUUCCGGAGCUAACGCGUUAGAUCGACCGCCUGGGGAGUACGGCCGCAAGGUUAAAACUCAAAUGAAUUGACGGGGGCCCGCACAAGCGGUGGAGCAUGUGGUUUAAUUCGAUGCAACGCGAAGAACCUUACCUACUCUUGACAUCCAGAGAACUUAGCAGAGAUGCU